AAUCUGUAGUCCUUCUAUAGCGAGAACUUCUGAAGCUGAAUGAAGAAGUUGCAAGAGGAAUGCAACAUAUUGGCUUCUCUUGUAUAGCCAACAAUGAACGAUAGAAGAAGAAUCGGAUGAAACUUUUAACGUUGUGGAUCAUCACAAGUACUUUACCAGUAGGAAGAUGGCAACGGCUAGAAUAACGAUGAAUAUGAUCAAUAGGCACAACCAAGUACAGCCACCUUUGGUGCGCUUAUUCAAAAAUGCCAAUUUCCUUUGCACCCUCUGAAGACGGGAGUUUGUUGUAUCAACAUGGUAAUCUAAGUUAUCCAGUAGUGCAGUAUGUAGGUUGAGCUCUUCAUUGAUUGCUAAGGCGACAUGUUUAGUGCUUACUACUGUCUCCUCCAAUUUAUCAAGAUCCUCGUCCUGCUCUUUUAUAACUUGUCGUUGAAAACCUACAAGAUCCUGGUUGUCAAGACCAGUCGCCCUACUGAUAACAUCAGGUCGCUUAGUUUCUGGGCCGAGCAAGCUAUCCCUAUUUGCAAGGUUAUUCAUGUUGAGUGUAGAUGCCAUCUGAUUAGCUUUCGUAAUCAUAUUAUCAAGCAUGUCAUGACGACGUUUCAUCUCCUUUUUUGAUAAAGGCUGCUUGCUUGGAAGCGUUUGCAGUAGGGACUGGAGAGUAUCAAGCCUUGUCCUUAAUAUAGUGAUCUUCCGCCGAGCUGCAGAUAAAUGGCGUUGUGAUUCAGGUCCGGAAGAGGGCAAAGAGCUCUUCGCAGAAAUCAUAGAACUGACUUCAUCCGCAAGUUUGGAUGCUUCAUUAAAUUCACGCAUCCAUGAGUCAGCUGACGAUGCCAUUCUAACCUUUCACCAAAAUGAUGUCAACGUUAGGGAUUUAAACUAACUCGCUGAAUAACCUCAAUAUUGCCUGGUCUUGUUUGCAGCACAUACCUUCAAAUAUGAACUGAAGAUUCAACAAUUUGAUAAUAAUUGUUGGAUCAAAAAACCAUAUAUAUAUGACCUUUUCUCCUGUACGUUUUUACAAAAUUGUUAUCCGGGGAAAAGGUCAAACGGAAUAUAGGGAAGAAAGGAAGCUGAAUCAAUUGUCCAUUUGCAAAUUAAUUACUACAAAAUUUUAGCUCUAUGAUGUUCCCAUAGUGUGGGCCGUUGGAUCUCG
rnacentral:misc_RNA from 1 species